rnacentral:rRNA from 1 species
UACGUAGGGUGCGAGCGUUAAUCGGAAUUACUUGGCGUAAAGCGUGCGCAGGCGGUCUCGCAAGUCCGAUGUGAAAUCCCCGGGCUCAACCUGGGAACUGCGUUGGAAACUACGAGGCUGGAGUACGGCAGAGGGGGGUGGAAUUCCACGUGUAGCAGUGAAAUGCGUAGAUAUGUGGAGGAACACCGAUGGCGAAGGCAGCCCCCUGGGCUAGUACUGACGCUCAUGCACGAAAGCGUGGGGAGCAAACAGG